UCCCCGACGUCAAGCCGACGCCGCCUUGCCAUGGAUCCUGCUCGUGCGGGAGCACGAGGAGGAUGUUGACCAGGCCUCCGUCGCCCUGGUGGGCCCUACAGCCACGUGUGGACUCCUGCGCCUUGGGCCUCCUUCGGUUGCCAAGGUCCAGCCCAGCUCCAGGCUGCCUGCCUCCUGCGCGCCUGGGCCCCAUCUUGCGCAAGGCCCAGCGCCCCUUUCUAGCCUCCCUCCUUUGCCUCACCGGGCCUUAGCCCAUAGUGAGCCUCCUGAGAGCUCCUCAGCCCUGUGCACUGUUGGGCCAUUACAAGAUCCAGCAUAGUGCAUGUUUUUUCCUGCCUCCGUAUUUAUCUAUUAUCCUGUGUUUUACAGUUUUAUAGAAAAGUCCCUAGAGUUCAUGCAUUUGAUAACUAACAAACCAUGCAUCGGAUUAAAACAACUUAUAUAUGAAAAAUGUUUAGAAUUUUGUCUAGUUUCAUAAUAUGCUACUUUCAACCAUGUUUAAAAUGUUUAAAAUGUUGUUUGCAUUAUUUUGCUCAAAUGCCAUGCUAAAAUGAUUUAAUUCAUAACUAAUUAACCGUGGCUCCAAAUUAAAUAAACUUUAUAUGUAAAUGUGGUAGAAAAAUGCCUAGUUUAACAUGUUGCACUCAUCUUGCAUGUUUAAUAACUCUAAAAUAUGGUUUAGGGAAGAAUAGUACCAAAUCCAUAAAUUGCAUAUGAGGACUUUCCGGAAUUGUUGUUUGUUAUUUCCGGCCUCAUUUAAACUUGCCUAGAUAGGUAGUUUCCAUAUGCUUCACCGCUCGCCAUGUUUAAUAACAUUUAAUAUUGUUCAGUACAUAAACGAGAGUGAACUAAAUGUUUGAAUGUGGUGUCUCAUCAAUAUGUAACUCGUUGCAUAUUGAGCUCCACUUAAUUUGUAGUAUUGUUUGUGCACUUUGCCAUGCCAUGCCUCAUUAAACCGGAUAUGCAUCAUACUUGUUUGUGCAUCAUGCCAUGUUUAUGUGAUGGUUGUUUACUAUGUUGUUUGCUUCUUUCCGGGUUGCUUCUCUUGUUGGCUUCGUUUUCGCUCCGGAGUUGUGAGGAUUUGUUCGACUACGUUCGUUUGUCUUUUUCAUGGUCUCGUUCUUCUUCCUUGCGGGAUCUCAGGCAAGAUGAUCAUACCCUCGAAAUCACUUCUAUCUUUGCUUGCUAGUUGUUCAUUCUAUCGCUAUGUCACGCUACCUAUCACUUGUUAUAUCAUGCCUCCCAUGUUGCCAUGUCAAGCCUCUAACCCACCUUUCUAGCAAACCGUUGCUUGGCUAUGUUACCGCUUUUGCUCAGCCCCUCUUAUAGCGUUGCUAGUUGCAGGUGAUGCUGAAGUUUGUUCCAUGUUGGAACAUGGAUAUGUUGGGGUAUCACAAUAUAUCUUAUUCAAUUAAUGCAUCUAUAUACUUGGUAAAGGGUGGAAGGCUCGACCUUAUGUAUGGUGUUUUGUUCUACUCUUGCCGUCCUAGUUUCCGUCAUACCGGUGUUAUGUUCCGUGAUUUCGCGUUCCUUACGCGGUUGGGUGUUAUGGGAACCCCUUGAUAGUUUGCUUUGAAUAAAACUCCUGCAGCAAGGCCCAACCUUGGUUUUACAUUUGCCUAACAACCUAAGCCUUUUUCCCUUGGUUUUUCGGAGCCCGAGGUUCAUCUUUAUUUAACCCCCUUGGGCCAGUGCUUCUCUAAGUGUUGGUCCGAACCGGGCAACCUGCGGGGCCACCUUGGGGCAACUUGAGGGCUGGUUUUACUCGUUGCUUGACCUAUCCGAUGUGUCCUGGGAACGAGAUAUGUGCAGCUCCUAUCAGGAUUUGUCGGCACAUCGGGUGGCUUUGCUGGUCUUGAUUUACCAUUGUCGAAAUGUCUUGUAUGUGGGAUUCCGAGACUGAUCGGGUCUUCCCGGGAGAAGGAAUAUCCUUCAUUGACCGCGAGAGCUUGUGAUGGGCUAAGUUGGGACACCCCUGCAGGGUAUAAACUUCCGAGAGUCGUGCCCGCGAUUAUGUGGAAGAUGGGAAUUUUUUAAUAUCGGGUUGUAGUGAACUUGACACUUAACUUAAUUAAAAUGCAUCAACCACGUGUGUAGCUAUGAUGGUCUCUUUUCGGCGGAGUCCGGGAAGUGGACAUGGUUCUUAUGUUAUGAUUGUGCGUAAGUAGUUUCAGGAUCACUUCUUGAUCACUUCUAGCUUCUUGACCGUUGCGUUGCUUCUCUUCUCGCUCUUAUUUCCGUAUGUUAGCCACCAUAUAUGCUUAGUGCUUGCUGCAGCUCCACCUCAUUACCUUACCCUACCCAUAAGCUUAAAUAGUCUUGAUCUCGUGGGUGUGAGAUUGUUGAGUCCUCAUGACUCACGGAUACUUCCAAACAGUUGCAGGUGCCGAGGAUACCAGUGCAGGUGAUGCAACCCAGCUCAAGUGGGAGCUCGAUGAAGAUCUUCGUCAUUGUUUUGUUUCGUUUCCUUUUGAUCAGUAGUGGAGCCCAGUUGGAACGAUCAGGGAUCUAGCAUUUGGGGUUAUCUUCUUUUAUUUUGGGUCCAUAAUCGGACCUUGAUUGUACUCUGGAUGAUGUAUGUUUAACUUGUUAUUUGUGUGAAGUGGCGGUUGUAAGCCAACUCUUUAUCACUUUCUUAUUCAGUACAUGGGAUUGUGUGAA
rnacentral:lncRNA from 1 species